rnacentral:rRNA from 1 species
CCUUGGGGCCACAUUGCCCUGAAUGCGUCUGAUCUCGUCCCUCUUGGAAGCUAAGCAGGGUCAGGCCUGGUGACUACCUGGGUGGGAGAAGAAGGAGGAGUUGCCUCACGGA